UACGUAGGGAGCAAGCGUUGUCCGGAAUUACUGGGCGUAAAGGGCGCGUAGGCGGGUAUUUAAGUCAGAUGUGAAGACUUUAGGCUCAACCUGGAGACUGCAUUUGAAACUGGAUAUCUUGAGGGCAGGAGAGGAAAGUGGAAUUCCUAGUGUAGCGGUGAAAUGCGUAGAUAUUAGGAGGAACACCAGUGGCGAAGGCGACUUUCUGGACUGUACCUGACGCUGAGGCGCGAAAGCGUGGGGAGCGAACGGG
rnacentral:rRNA from 1 species